rnacentral:tRNA from 1 species
GGGGGGGUGGUGUAAUUGGCAACACAUUGGGUUUUUUGGGCCCAACGUUGAGGGUUCGAGUCCUUCUCCCCCCC